CCCGCGAUUCUUGGAAAGUAAGUUGAUCCCUACCCUAAAUGCCUCCCUUCUUGACCAUAUGAAGCUAAGCUUUCUCCCUUCAACCUCAUUUUUUUAAACGACAAAUAGUUAUAUAUUAUUCUAUGACGUCCUACUUAGUUGUUGUUAGCUUAAACCUCCGUGUCAGCGAUAGCCCCAACUUGUUCCCUUGAACCUCAUAACCGAAGAAAACGAGAGAGAAAGUGAUGGGUGUCGGCUAGGGUUUUCAGGAGGAAGAAGCAACCAUAGAGGUCGAUUCCAUCCACCCCCAAGAUUUUAAGGAGACUAGCAGAGUGGGAUUUUGGGAGGCAAAUGGACUAGGAGGACAAUGAAGAAUCAUGGACUAGAAGACUUGUGGAGUUGAUGCAAAUCAUGGGCUUGUUGAUAAUAGAAGGCUUGAAGAAGAUGGACUUUGAAUAAGAAAACGGAAGAAUAUUCGAGCAAGCAAAAAUUAUUGAUCGGGCGAGUACGUGAGCUAUGGGUGAUUUGGAAAAGCUAAAUUGGGCUUAGAUUGAAGAAAACUUGAAGAAUAAUGGACUAUAAGCUGAUUGGACUCGAUCUAGGCCAGUGGGGUAAAGCUUUAGAGGCCCAAAACUCAAAUGAGCCCACAUCAGGCACCACCCGUGCAGAGCUGUGUUGGCCAUGCACAGACCUGCAGGGGUAAUUUCGAAAAUUUAUUUUUAGUGUUAUAUGGGGAAGGUUGGUGUGCAUCUUUUUGGCACUUCUUUACAUCCAAAAAUUGGACAUUUCUCUGGA